UAUUUUUUAAUCUCUAUUAGUAGAAUUUGUAGCCCGAUAACCCAAAUAAAUCACGUGAGUUUUGUGAAGAUCUAAAAAAAAGUAACGCAACAACUCAAAAUUAAAAAGAUGUCCUAAGAAAAAAAUUGUUUAUAUAUAUAUAAAUUAUUAUUUUUUAUAUGAAAUGGUGAUAUUUGAUUGAAUUGCAGUAUUUAUAUAUAUAUCUCCCUAAUUUGAUAGCAUUAUUGGAUCGAAAUAUGAUAGUAUUUAUAGGUAUCUUUAAAAUUUAGUAUGAAUAAAUUUAUUGAAUGUUUAGGAUUUAGUAGAGAGCUGAUGGAAUAAUAAUGAUUCAAAGAUAAAAGAUAAUUAACAAUUACUAUUUGAAUAUUAUUAAUAAUAUUCUAGUCAAACUCCAGUCUGUUAACUAUAUAUAUAUAUAUAUAUAUUUUUUUCUCUUUUUGUGAAAAUGAGGAGAGAUUUCUCAUCUCGUCUUCGAAUCCAUAACCCUUCCAAUCCAGCUGCCGACAACAAAUUCCAAUGAUUCGGCAUCAUUUAUGGUGUUGUUACUUGUUAAGGCAGCAUUUAUUAUACAAGGGUAUUAUAUGUUUUUUUUUUCUAUAUUUUCAAUACUUUGUUGGUUGGCAUCUUCUUUAUCUCUAUCAAAAGAUUCAGAACUAUACACAUUCGACUAUUUAAUCUUUUAAAAUUUUAAUUUUAAUAUUUAAUAUAUUUUAUAUUUGAUUUGAAUCAUUUGAUAACACUUUUCAUAUAAAAUUUAAACUAAUUACUAAUUAUACCAAUUAAAUCCGUAAAGAUAAAUAAUUAAUACAUUCGGAUUUUAAAAUUAAAAAAUUAUUAUUUGGUUCAAAUCAGAUAACUAACAAGAUUCUUAAAUUAGAUAGUCUUACUAAGGUAAGUUCAUAUAUUUUUACUUUAUUGUAUGUCGCCUACGGGGCUCACUAUCCGGACUAAACGUCUCUACUAACUAUAUAUAUAUAAUGACCGACUGUCCCUAGCGCAAGUGGCAAAGAGUUUGGUGAUUGAUACCUGAGAUCUCAAGUUCGAAUCCUAGUUGAUUCACAUUUUCAGCUAAAUUUAUUUCUAAAUGAAAUAAACGAAACGGGUAACGUGCUACCUAUCUCUCUCGAAAAAAAAAAAACUAUAUAUAUAUAACAUAUAAAACACUUUUAUGAGCUUGUCUAAGAUCGGAAUUGGAGCAUCUUUGACAUUUAUUAAGCUAAGAUGGCACAAUACAAUUUAUCCCUUUCGUUAUUUAUUUAAGCACACCUCCAAUGCUAAUAUAUAAUACUUAACUUCAGUAUCUACUCUGAAGGGCUUUUUUUUGCAAAUAGCACAUGAGCAAUUUUUAUUUUAAAAAUAGCCCUAUCAAAAUUAAAAUUGCAAAAAUGGCCCUGUCCAUGCCACGCAAGCGCCACGUCAACGCCACGCAGGCGGGGCUGGGCCAGAUGGUUAAGUUGAAUACGGUGAAUAUUGUAUUGGAAGUUGAACUUGAUUCACCGUGUCUAAAUACGGUGAAUGAUUCACCGUAUUUUUUACGUAUUUUUUGUAUAUUGAAAAGUGGAAUAAGAUGUAGGAAUGUCAAUAGGUAUGGAUAUCCGAAAUAUUGUCCGAAUCCAAACCCGAAUAAUAUAUAUAUAUAUANGCAACUCAUGAACUUUCAUCUCUUUGUAGUUAAUUAAUUUGGUGAUAAUUGAGACUCGAUAUAUAUAUAUAUAUAUAAUUGAAUAUACGUGCAAAUGCACGUAAUAAUUAUUAUAAUUUAUUUCAAAUCAAUAUAAAUUUGUACAUUAUAUAUAUCCAAAAUUUUACAAUAAAAAUUAUAUCUAUAAAUUAAUGUGUUAUAUUUUAUUAGAAAAUAUUUAUAAUAUCCUACCGAGUUCUUUUAUUUAUAUACAUCGAAUAUUUUUAUAUAUUUUUUGAUUUUUGAUGAAUCAAAUUUAAAUAUGUAUUUUAAAAUAAAAGUAUCAAAAUUUAAUUCACAUUUAAUUUAAAAUUUAAAAUUUAAUUUUGAUCCACGGUAAUAAAAAAAGUAAUUAUUAAUUCAAAUUUGAUAUCAAAAAAUUAAAUUUAAUUCAUAAUUUAAACUCAAAUUUUAAUUUAAUGUAAAAUAUAUUAAUAGAAAUGCUAUUUUUUAACAAAUUGAUCAUAACCGUUUGUUUUAAUUUGAGAUAUUUUUUUAAAAAUUGAUUAUAAUAGGAUUGAAUUUAUAGAUGGAUGCGAAUACUAUUUUUUAAUAGAUUGAUUAUAACUGUUCUUAUUUUAAAUAUUUUUUUAACAAAUUAAUCAUAACCAUUUAUAGGGAAUAGAUUUUUAUAUGUAGUAGAAAUUUAAUAGAUUGAUCAUAACCGUUCAUUUUUAUUUGACAUAUUUUUAACAAAUUAAUCAUAACCAUUCGUAGGGAAUAUUAUUUUAUUCCUUUUUGGAUUCCGUCUGUCAUUGUCGGAAUUCCUAUACGCUUUUAUAUAUAGUAUAGAUGUAAAAUAGUUAAUAAUUUUUAUUUCUUAGAUCUUCAUCUAACGGUAUAGAUUUUUAAAACCUGCUGGGUUGGAUGAAGAUCUAAGGAAUAAAAAUUAUUAAAUAUUUUAUAUAUUGUAUAAAUAAACAAAAAUAAAUUAUGUAUAUAUAUAUAAUUUAUUCGGAUUUGAAUUUGGAUAAUUUUUCGGAUAUCCAUACUUAUUGACAUCCCUACUUCUUAUUCCACUUCUCAAUAUAUAAAAAAUACGUAACAAAAACCAUUUACCGUGUUUGAACACGGUGAAUGGUUCACCGUGUUCAACUUAACAUACAGGCCCAGCCCUGCCCGCGUGGCGCUGACGUGGCGCCUGCGUGGCAGGCCCAGGGCCAUUUUUGUAAAUUAAAUUUUGACAAGAUUAUUUUUAAAAUAAAAAUUUAUCAGGGGUCUAAAUGCAAAAAAAACCCUACUCUGAAUUAGGAUGUUUCUACGCUCUAUUUUUCUACUCUUCUU
rnacentral:lncRNA from 1 species